UACGUAGGGGGCGAGCGUUGUCCGAAGUUACUGGGCGUAAAGCGCGCGUAGGCGGUCUAUUAAGUCUGAGGUGAAAGGUUCAACGCUCAACGUGAACAGUGCCUUGGAUACUGGUAGACUUGAGUGUGGCAGAGGAGUAUGGAAUUCCUGGUGUAGCGGUGAAAUGCGUAGAUAUCAGGAGGAACACCGGUGGCGAAGGCGGGGUCUCUGGACAGUUCCUGACGCUGAGGCACGAAGGCCGGGGGAGCAAAACGGGG
rnacentral:rRNA from 1 species